UUUCAAGCUCUCUUAGUUGCUGAAAAUUUUCUAUUUUUAUUCUUUACGGUAGAGAGGAAAACGCACCAACGGAAGCUUUAAGGAAUUUCUUUUAGUUUGCGAAGUUCAGAUAGUUAUAUAGUUGAUGAGAAUAACGUCGAGGAUGACCUGGACAUUGACGAGGAAGAGAUAUGAGACACAGUUGAAUUUUAUUUAUAAUCUAUACUUUUAAUUAUGACUAUACCACAUUUUUACUUGUUUUAUUUAAGGAUAAUAACUUUGUGAUUUCUGCUACUAAAGAUUUAUAAGUCAAG